UGCGGUUGAGAUAGUAGAUGCAGGUGGACGCAGCGCCGUCUCCGUGGGGUGUGUCCACGUGCCGCACGUAGCCCAGGCCAUUGCCCGGUAACAGGCCACCAUGGCCUGGGAGGCAGGAGGAGAGGAGGGAAGGGGAGGGUGAGCAGUGGCAAGUCCAGUAGGGCUGCCCGCAGAAGGCCACCCCCCCCCGCCCCUCCAGGUGGUCCUCACAGCCAAGGACCUCCCUGGCAAGGCACUUCCCAGCAUUCCAAAGCAGAGCAAAUCUUCCGCCACCAUCAAACAGGUGCCGAGGCGGAAUCCUGAGCCUCGCUGGUCUCAGAGCUGUUUGACCCCACAUACCCUCCCUGCAGGCCACCCCAGUCACAGGAGGCAAGGGCGGGCAAGAUGCUCUCCUUUCAGAGUGUUGGAAAUAAAUCCUUACAAAAAACUUGGAUCGUAAGAAAUGAAUUUUAUUAACAAAAAUAAAAGGAAACAAAAACUUGAACUUGAACUUGAGCAAGACUUUAACUGUAAGUUCUAGCCCCAACACACUCCUGGAUUCAAAAGGAAGGGUUUUCAUAAGUGGUCCUAAGGCGACUCCCCUUCCCCCCCCUUUGGUCCCAUGAAUACGUCCUCAGGGGUUACAACUAAUGCGAGGAGCCUAUUAAGAAUACAUUAACCCUCCCCCCCCCUUCCUGCCCAAGUGCGGUUGCAGUUUUAAUCCCCAGCUAAUCUCCAAAGGUCAGAGGCUUUUAUUUUAGCAUUCCCUACAAGAGGAAAACCCCAGCCACACACAACAGAGAGACUCUAACCAGAGAGGUUUCUCCUUCAAAUCCAAGGUGGACAAAGCUGGACUCAAGAUAUGCUCAGAGGCAAAAGUUAUUUGCAGGAGCUGUUUGCGAGGGCCCUCACCAUGAAUUGUGGUUCAUAUGAACACUGGGGGAGGGGGGAAAGGCCACUGCAAGAGGCAUCUGCCCUCCCUGCCCCCCAAGCCCACCUCUUCCUUGGGCAGCCAGAGGCGCUGCAGCAGGGAUCCUCUCCCCACGCAGGACAGGAGCAGCCUGUCCAGGAACACCGGAGGACAUCCAGUCCUGGUGAGGCCGGACCUGCUCCCUCCCAGCUGGGCUGCUGCCAGCCACGUGAUGGAUGUUCCUGGCAAGGUCACCCGAGGACAGAGGGGAGGAGAUGCCAACUGAGGGAGCCUUCUGACCAGGCCGCAAAAGGAGGCAAAGGCAGGGCUGGUUCCUGAGGGGCUCCCAGGCUCCUCUUAUCACUUCAGGGAGGGGGGGGGGGGCGGCUGUUAGGCCAGGGUCCCUCUGGGGCUGGCAAAGGGGGAUCCUCUUCUGAGUCAGAGAGUGCUGGUGGACAGGGCCAGUUAAGGACAGGAAUCCACACAGCAUGCCCAGGCUCUGUCCUAAUCCUCACCCAUGUGCCCCACAGCCCCCCUCGCUUCCUCCCCCUUCCUCCAGGACUCAGCCCAACCACAGGUCUCCAAAGGGGCAGGGGGGGAGGGGUUGGAGACCCUUAUUUCCCUGAAAUCCACAGCAGGAAAGAUGCAGGAUGGCUGCUCCCAUCACCCCAUCGGCCACAGCUGCCCGUCUCUCCCCAGAGCUCUGCCCUGUGUGUGGCAAACCACUGGUGCAGCCCCCCACCCCCUGGCUCCAACGUUUUGGGAAGUGAAAACCAUAGGCUGCUACCCAGCCAGGGUCUCCCUGAAGGCCCCCCCAACACCACCAUCCCAAGUGUUUAGAGGGGGCUUCUAAGCCCACCCAGUUUCAGCCAGCAGAGGCCUGUCCAGUUCUUCCUCUGAAUUGAAAACACAGGGGGGGGGUCCGUUUUUGGGAGCUGAGCUAAGAGGCACCUUCACUUUCAGAUCGCAGCCGAGUGAGAGUCACGUGUGGCCAAGAGAGGCUCCUUCCUGGAAGCUCUUGGUGGGUCCCUGCCACCCACUUGACCUGUGGAUUUGGAGGAGGAGAUAAAGAACUUUCAUUCAGAAGAGGAGCCCCAUGAUUAACUGGGAAACUUGUCUUUUAAUUGUUGCUCUUUAUUUUUGAUAACGUUUCCCUAUUUGUCUUUUCUAAUUUCUGUUCAGUUACAGGCAAAAAAUGUGAUAAAGCAUGGAGAACUCCAGUAAGGAUUCAGUCUGAGUUAAAGUACUACAGGAUCAUUCCUUGAUACGGUUAAUUGCAUAUAUGUUCUGAGUUGACGGCUUCUUGUUACCCUGCUGAUUUGUUAUUAAAAGGGCUACAGAAUUGUCUUCAGUGAGGACGGCUGCUUCCUCAUCCCUCCCUCCCUAUCAUAAAGGACAGGAUCAGCUUCUGAGAAUAAGAGAGUCCUGAGGAUUCUCCUGUCCUUUGAAAAAAUGAAAAGGGCCAUGAAAAAUGCCUGUUUCUCCCUUGGAGUUCUUUUGCCUCCCUCCCAGGAGUUCUUCCCCUCCCUGAGGGCAAACGGCAGGGCUCACUCCUCUCCCCAUCUGGGGGUGGCAGGUUGGGGAUUCAGGUCUCUUUGGAAAAAUUAAAAAGACGACUGCACACAAGCAGGGACAUUUGGCAAACAGCUGUAUGGCCACCAAGCCUAAGCUGUCCGUGAGAGGGAAAGAUCCAUCGCCCACGUUAAGCAAAGGAGGGAGCAAAUUAGCUUUUUGACUGGAGAAGCGAGGGAGGAUUUCCGCACUUCCCAGCUGAGGACGGUUCUAAAAGAAGGUUGCAGAAAUCAUGGGGGAAACGGCUCCUGCCACCACCAGAGGGCCCGAUGGAGACGCAGAAGAAUUCUGGGAGCUGAAGUCCACAAGGCUCCGAACUGCCCUGGGUGGAGACCUCUGCUCAGGAGAGCAGCUCCUUCCCAAGGCCCAGCCCGGCUUCACUCUUGGCGGGGAUGAUGGGUUAGCUGGGGGCCCUGCGGGUGAGAUUCCCCAAGCAGGUCAACCGCGGUUAUAAACCAUGGCAGCCUCGUCCCUUCUUCCCCCACAAGCAGCGCUGAUCUCGACCCACGCAGCCGCCUGCCCUCUCCUGGAGCAGCCUUCGGCCCUUCUGCUUAGCUACCAUAUACACAUAUUGCUUCGAAAGGAAAAAGGCAUCACAAUUCUGGCAUGUAAAAGGGGGGGAAAACGUUUAUGUAUGAGCAGCAAUUUCACAGCCUCAAAGUUGGAGGGAAUGUUUGCGUUCAUAGAAAAAAUAAAAUAAACCGGAAGAUUUAAGUUUUAAACUGCGUAUAACUGUCAGCUGUCCCACUCUGGAUGGAAGGGAGUCCCCCUCCUCCUUCAAAGCUGAAGCGAAUCAAGCCGGGCAAAGGAGGGCAGGGACCCCACCUGCAAAGCCAGCCCCUUCCUGCCCUUCACACAGGAGAAUAAAUAACAGAGAGAAACACGACACUUAAAAAUAAAAUCCAAGCCCCCCCCCCUGCCCCCCCCCCCGUUUCACCUUCCUUUCUGCUCAGGAGAGGAAUGCGAAACCUUCCCAGCACACAAGUGGCGGCCACAGAGAUUCCUACACCCUGGUGGAAAACAGAAGCAGACCCCACCUCCAGCUCCCCAUCUUCCCAUUAGGUGGUUAUAAAACUGGGAGGGGAGGAAGCCCCAACUCAGAGCACCGCCUCUUCCUGCAAGGGGGGCAACCACCCAUGGCCAGAAGGAACUGCCAGCUCAACCCUGCGAUCCCACCUUCCUUCCUUCCUCGCUCAGUCAACCAGGAGGACGUGUGGCCCAGCAAACUCCUCCAAGCCCACCAUCUGGACCCAGGCCUCAUUCUGGACGGCUGCCAAAAACCAGACCCCUGCGGACCCAUGCACAUGUGGGUUCAACACACAGGGAGGCAGCUCCUGGCCCACUGGAGAAAGGGGGCGGGAGGGAGAGGGGCAGGCAGUGCCAGAGGGUUGAGAGAGACUAUUGUAAUGCGGGGAGGGGGAACCCUCCUCCUCCUCAGAGCUGGGGCCUCUCAAGAGAUCCCUCCCAAACCCCCCCCCCCUUCCUCUGCAGGACCCAGGCGGGGCCGAGGGACCACGCACAGCAAGUCUGGGAACACUGGCCACGGGAGGGAGGGAGGGACUGGGGGCAAUUCCAUAACCUGGUAGGCUUCCCCCAACUCCUUAUGACAAAUUCAGGCUGGGCUCUCUGGCUGCUUUGUCAAACGUGGGACGUUUGCCGCUCAAAGGCUCCGGAGCUCCGUCCGUCUUGCAACACUUGAGAGGAGGCCGGAAUCCAAGCUCACCCAAACGGAGGGCCGGGGGGGGGGGGGCCAAUAGCCCCACAGCUUCCUCCACAGCCGGGAAGAGGGAUUUUUCCGCCAGCACUGUGGCUUCCUUGCUGUAGACUCAGCCCAGAGUAAAUCACCAGGAAAGAGCUCAAAGAAAUUGCCGAAGGGAGCAUUUCUCGCUCCAUCAACAGUGCACAAAAAAAACCUCCCACUGGCCUUGGCCUGGCCCAGCCUCUGCAGCCCAGGAAAAGGGGGGGGGCUACAGGCAGAGGCAACGGCCGA